UAGUAUUAAAGGUAACGCCUGCCCAGUGAGACUUAAACGGCCGCGGUAUCCUAACCGUGCAAAGGUAGCGUAAUCACUUGUCCUCUAAAUAAGGACUAGUAUGAACGGCUAAAUGAGGGACCCCCUGUCUCCUUUAACCAAUCAGUGAAACUGAUCUUCCAGUACAAAAGCUGGAAUGGCCCUAUAAGACGAGAAGACCCUGUGGAGCUUCAAAUUAUGGUCAACAAUAAUCAUCACCACCAGACCCUGGCCUAUUAAUUUCAGUUGGGGCGACUUCGGAAAACAGACAAACUUCCGAGCAGAUAGACCUUGAUCUUAUCUAGACCCACAAGUCUAAAUUCACUGACCCAGUAACACUGAUCAACGAACCAAGUUACCCCAGGGAUAACAGCGCAAUCUUCUUCAAGAGUUCCUAUCGACAAGAAGGUUUACGACCUCGAUGUUGGAUCAGGACACCCAAUUGGUGCAGCCGCUAUUAAAGGUUCGUUUGUUCAACGAUUAACAGUCCUACGUGAUCUGAGUUCAGACCGGAGC
rnacentral:rRNA from 1 species